rnacentral:miRNA from 1 species
CACGUGCGCUCCUUCUCCAGC